UACGGGGGGUGCGAGCGUUGUCCGGAUUCACUGGGCGUAAAGGGCGCGUAGGCGGCCCGGUCAGUCGGUCCUUUAAGAGCGGGGCUCACCCCCGUGUGGGGACCGGGACGGCCGGGCUGGGGCGCGGCAGAGGGGGACGGAAUGCCGGGUGUAGUGGUGAAAUGCGUAGAGAUCCGGCGGAACACCGGUGGCGCAGGCGGUCCCCUGGGCCGAGGCCGACGCUGAGGCGCGAGAGCGCGGGGAGCGAACCGG
rnacentral:rRNA from 1 species